GAUGAAGAACGCAGCGAAAUGCGAUAAGUAAUGUGAAUUGCAGAAUUCAGUGAUUCAUCGAAUCUUUGAACGCACAUUGCGCCCCUUGGUAUUCCGAGGGGCAUGCCUGUUCGAGCGUCAUUAUAACCCCUCAAGCUCAGCUUGGUGUUGGGGCCUGCCGCACGGGCAGCCCUUAAAAUCAGUGGCGGUGCUAUCUGGCUCUAAGCGUAGUAAUUCUUCUCGCUAUAGAGUCCCGGUGGAUGCUUGCCAUUAACCCCCAAUUUUCUAUGGUUGACCUCGGAUCAGGUAGGGAUACCCGCUGAACUUAAGCAUAUCAAUAAGCGGAGGA
rnacentral:misc_RNA from 1 species